rnacentral:rRNA from 1 species
GACGAACGCUGGCGGCGUGCUUAACACAUGCAAGUCGAACGGAAAGGCCCUGCUUUUGUGGGUUGCUCGAGUGGCGAACGGGUGAGUAACACGUGAGUAACCUGCCCUUGACUUUGGGAUAACUUCAGGAAACUGGGGCUAAUACCGGAUAGGAGCUCCUGCUCCAUGUUGGGGGUUGGAAAGUUUCGGCGGUUGGGUAUGGACUCGCGGCUUAUCAGCUUGUUGGUGGGGUAGUUGCUUACCAAGGCUUUGACGGGUAGCCGGCCUGAGAGGGUGACCGGGCACCUUGGGACUGCGAGACGGACCAGACUCCUACGGGAGGCAGAAGUGGGGAAUAUUGCGCAAUGGGCGGAAGCGUGAUGCAGCAACGCCGCGUGCGGGAUGACGGCCUUCGGGUUGUAAACCGAUUUCGCAUGUGACGAAGCGUGAGUGACGGUAAUGGGUAAAGAAGCACCGGCUAACUACGUG